GUGCUGCUUUGGCAGCACAUACACUGAAAUCGGAACACUGUGGAGAAGAUUAGCAUGGCCCUUGCUCAGGGAUGACAUGGAAAUUCGUGAAGCCUUCAUAUCUAAA
ensembl:snRNA U6 U6 spliceosomal RNA